rnacentral:rRNA from 1 species
UACAGAGGUCUCAAGCGUUGUUCGGAUUCAUUGGGCGUAAAGGGUGUGUAGGUGGCGCCGUAAGUCGGGUGUGAAAUUUCGGAGCUUAACUCCGAAACUGCAUUCGAUACUGCGGUGCUUGAGGACUGGAGAGGAGACUGGAAUUUACGGUGUAGCGGUGAAAUGCGUAGAUAUCGUAAGGAAGACCAGUGGCGAAGGCGGGUCUCUGGACAGUUCCUGACGCUGAGGCACGAAGGCCAGGGGGAGCAAACGGG